UAACAUCCAGCUCACUUUGAAGGCUCGCCUUCUGAAAAAAACCUUUCCUAUACUCUGACA
rnacentral:snoRNA from 14 species